rnacentral:rRNA from 1 species
AUUGAACGCUGGCGGCAUGCUUUACACAUGCAAGUCGAACGGCAGCGCGGGCUUCGGCCUGGCGGCGAGUGGCGAACGGGUGAGUAAUGCAUCCGAACGUGCCCAGUAGUGGGGGCUAGCCCGGCGAAAGCCGGAUUAAUAUCGCAUACGAUCUGAGGGUGAAAGCGGGGGACCGAAAGGCCUCGCGCUAUUGGAGCGGCCGAAGUCGGAUUAGCUAGUUGGUGGGGUAAAGGCUUACCAAGGCGACGAUCCGUAGCUGGUCUGAGAGGACGACCUGCCACACUGGAACUGAGACACGGCCCAGACUCCUACGGGAGGCAGCAGUGGGGAAUUUUGGACAAUGGGGGCAACCCUGAUCCAGCCAUGCCGCGUGCGGGAAGAAGGCCUUCGGAUUGUAAACCGCUUUUGUUCGGGAAGAAAUUCUCUGAACUAAUACCCCGGGGGGAUGACGGUACCGGAAGAAUAAGCACCGGCUAACUACGUG